UUAUGCUUGUUUUGUUCGGUA
rnacentral:piRNA from 1 species